rnacentral:ncRNA from 1 species
GAGAGACAUGCAAGUGAGAGAGAAGUUUAGCUGAGGAUGCAGGAGGUCCUACUGGACUUUACAACACAUAGAGAGUUAAGGCAUCACCACCUACUUUGUGGCAUCUAACCAAGUAGUGUG